GAUGAACGCUGGCGGCGUGCUUAACACAUGCAAGUCGAACGGAAAGGCCCAAGCUUGCUUGGGUACUCGAGUGGCGAACGGGUGAGUAACACGUGGGUGAUCUGCCCUGCACUUCGGGAUAAGCCUGGGAAACUGGGUCUAAUACCGGAUAGGACCACAUUUUGGAUGGUGUGGUGGAAAGUUUUUCGGUGUGGGAUGAGCUCGCGGCCUAUCAGCUUGUUGGUGGGGUAAUGGCCUACCAAGGCGUCGACGGGUAGCCGGCCUGAGGGGGUGUACGGCCCACGUGGGGACGGAUAGAGGGCCAAGCCCCCGGGGGGGGGAGGGGGGGGGGAAUGUGGCAAAAGGGGCGAAGGCCGGAUGCGGCGGCCCCGGGGGGGGGGGGACGGCUUUGGGUUUGAAAACCCGUUUCGCUGGGGAAGAAGCGAAAGGGGCGGUCCGGGGAAAAGAGGCCCGGGCAAGCUAGGGG
rnacentral:rRNA from 1 species